rnacentral:rRNA from 1 species
GACGGAGGGGGCUAGCGUUGUUCGGAAUUACUGGGCGUAAAGAGCGCGUAGGCGGCUUGGUAAGUUGGGAGUGAAAGCCCGGGGCUUAACCUCGGAAUUGCUUUCAAAACUGCCUGGCUAGAGUAUGGUAGAGGAUGAUGGAAUUCCUGGUGUAGAGGUGAAAUUCUUAGAUAUCAGGAGGAACACCGGUGGCGAAGGCGGUCAUCUGGGCCAUAACUGACGCUGAUGCGCGAAAGCGUGGGGAGCAAACAGG